GCGCAUGUGUGAGCCCUCUCAUCCGACUCCUGAGAUCUUAUCAGGAAGCUGCUGAUCACCAGCUUCAGGUGUUUCUAUUUAUUGGGAGACUGUCUUUCCCUGGCACCAGCUGCAACCAAUGAUUACUUUAGAGAGACAGUUUAACAACUGCCUGACCAUCACCUGAUGGUCAUCUGACAUUCCCAGGACUCCAGAUAAGAGCCCAGGCCAAAGGACACCUUGAUUUUGACCUUGUCAGACCUGGAGUUGAAAAACCAGCUGCACCCUUCUAGAAUUCUUACUUACAAAACUGGAGAUGUUACAAGACAAGAUGAUUUCACUGGAAGCUGAGUUUUGCCAGCUUUGGGGAAAUGCUGAUGCAGAACAUCAUUUAUUUAAGGCUGAUACUCAUGGAUAGAAGAGUCAAAGUGCGAAUAUAUGCACCCUUCUAUACGGAUUCUGCAGAAAGAUAUGCUUGGGUCAUGACUCAGGUGAAUUUCCUAUGAAACUUUGUCUUUGGUAAAGCAUCCCAUUCUUGGCUGUUCCAUAUAUAUAUAUAUGGUAAGUUUGGGAGUGGCCUUGCUAGUAAAGAAUAAAUUAUUUACUUGGUUCUAGCUA
rnacentral:lncRNA from 10 species